AGCUCUAGAAUAGCUAUACAGCAAUAGCCACUGUAACAGCUAUAGUGAGUAGUGCUAUGGGAAGGGAACCUGGUUUUUCUUUUCUUUCUACUCCAGGGCGAGUCUGAACCACCCCUCACCCCUUUGUUGGACAAAGAUAUUCCUGAAAAAGUUACACUGUAAAAGUGAGAGCUUGAAGGGGCUUUGAAGAUUCUUCGUUAUACCAUAAGAAGCCUAAUUGAAAUGACUCGAAGACUCACGUAGUUACUUAAUGGAAGAAUCUAAGACAUUCAGAACUGUGCUUUUCCUGAAGUCUCCCAUCAUUAAAAAGAAAAGGAAUUUUCUGGAGUUCCAUCAGACCAGCUGCUCAUGUGGAAUAAAUGGAAGAGGCUCAGAAGCACACGUUGAAUUCCUGCUGAAGCUGGUUAGAGUUGACACAGUGAAGGUGUUUCGAGGGCCUAAUGAAAUUGUACAUGAACCUGAGAAAACAACCAGCUGAAACAUUUCCAAGAAAGACAGGUGUGCAAACUAUUCCUGCUGAGAGUAGGUGCAGUGCUGUUUACAUUACUGUUCUUGGCCGAGCUGAGCUUUCCCAUUUCCUCAGAGUAAAUAUGUGUACGUAUUAGAUAGAGACAGAUGCAUAGGAUUUGAGUGCGGUGGUGCUAUCAUCAGAUCGGAAUAAUAACAGGCUUUGUUGACCCCACAAUACCGGAUCUAUUUUUAACUCUCAGUUUAUUUUAUGUCAGCUUUAGUUUUCUUGGAACUGAGAAAUACCACAUAUUUAACCGCACAUUUUUAAGGAAAAUAGUGGUAAUAUAAUGAAUAGGAAAUGUUACUUCCUAACUCCCAUUAAUGAGUGUGCAAGGUCAUUUUUUCCGAUGUCCUUUUUAACUGAGCAGACA